rnacentral:rRNA from 1 species
UACAGAGGGUGCAAGCGUUAAUCGGAAUUACUGGGCGUAAAGCGAGCGUAGUCGGUUAUUUAAGUCGGGUGUGAAAGCCCCGGGCUCAACCUGGGAAUUGCAUUCGAUACUGGAUAGCUAGAGUUCGGCAGAGGGAAGCGGAAUUUCCGGUGUAGCGGUGAAAUGCGUAGAUAUCGGAAGGAACAUCAGUGGCGAAAGCGGCUUCCUGGACCAGAACUGACGAUCAGGCUCGAAAGCGUGGGGAACAAACAGG